UCACCGGCCAGACACAGAGAAGCAGUGAAAGUAAGAUAUAGAGAAGUAAGAAAUAUAAUAAGCCUGGUACACCAUCCCCAACUCCCAAAGAGAUGCUAAGUGGACAAGGGCAUCCCUUUGGGCCUCCGAUGCUUUGAGAGCACUGGGACCUAUCUCAUUGGAAGGCCAUCCACCUGUGGUCCUGGGCACACUCUCAGCCUGAAAGUGCUGGAAGACUUGUCUCACCCCGGGGCUGGACACAAUACUGACAGGCCGGCAUCUUGCUGCCUCCUGACAUGACAUGCUGUGUGACACGGUGACUCACGUGUGGCCUGAACAGAAUCUCUGUUGUCACCUCAGGACCAAAGUUGAAAGAGACCACUGGACUUUAUCGUGUGUUUUGUCUCUUCUGCUGGCUGGUGGCAAACAGUUCCUGGUUCCUGAGUGUGGAAUAUCCCACCCCUUAGGCAGACUGGAUGCUCACUCAGUGAUGAUGGCUGGGUAAAGGUGCCUGAGGACCUGAGUUGGAUCCCACAUGAUACAAGGAGAGAACCAACUCCUGAAAGUUGUCCUCUGUUCUCCACAAUU